rnacentral:rRNA from 1 species
AGAGGGUGAUCGGCCACAUUGGGACUGAGACACGGCCCAAACUCCUACGGGAGGCAGCAGUGGGGAAUAUUGGGCAAUGGAGGAAACUCUGACCCAGCAACGCCGCGUGGAGGAAGAAGGUUUUCGGAUCGUAAACUCCCGUCCUUGGAGACGAGUAGAAGACGGUAUCCAAGGAGGAAGCCCCGGCUAACUACGUGCCAGCAGCCGCGGUAAUACGUAGGGGGCAAGCGUUGUCCGGAAUAAUUGGGCGUAAAGGGCGCGUAGGCGGCUCGGUAAGUCUGGAGUGAAAGUCCUGCUUUUAAGGUGGGAAUUGCUUUGGAUACUGUCGGGCUUGAGUGCAGGAGAGGUUAGUGGAAUUCCCAGUGUAGCGGUGAAAUGCGUAGAGAUUGGGAGGAACACCAGUGGCGAAGGCGACUAACUGGACUGUAACUGACGCUGAGGCGCGAAAGUGUGGGGAGCAAACAGGAUUAGAUACCCUGGUAGUCCACACUGUAAACGAUGAAUGCUAGGUGUAGGGGGUAUCGACCCCUUCUGUGCC